rnacentral:ncRNA from 1 species
UUUCGCUAGGCUGUGGUUGCGGAUGUGCCUCUACACACAUCCUAGUCCAAGGCAGACGAGGCCAAAAGGAUCCACGUAAGUUUAGCGGGUUGCAGCUUGCUGCGCCUCGUUAAGCGAGCAUGGCUCGUCCUAGAAGUAAGUCGUACCGUUCGUUUGAAUAAAGGCAUAGGGCCUUGCGAACGAGAGCAUUAGUCGUGCGCAUACCUCAGGCAAAGCCACAAGGCCAGCCAGGGGAUAUGCAAGCAAACGUGCCAGUAUGCGAGUGUGGGGUCAAAUACCAGGUCAGCUAACGAAA